GGGAUAACCCGUUGAAAGACGGACUAAUACCGUAUGACGUCGUUUGCUGACAUCAAAUAACGAUUAAAGGUUUAGCGGUGAUGGAUGGGGAUGCGUCUGAUUAGCUUGUUGGCGGGGUAACGGCCCACCAAGGCGACGAUCAGUAGGGGUUCUGAGAGGAAGGUCCCCCACAUUGGAACUGAGACACGGUCCAAACUCCUACGGGAGGCAGCAGUGAGGAAUAUUGGUCAAUGGGCGAGAGCCUGAACCAGCCAAGUAGCGUGCAGGAUGACGGCCCUAUGGGUUGUAAACUGCUUUUAUGCGGGGAUAAAGUGCGCGACGUGUCGUGCAUUGCAGGUACCGCAUGAAUAAGGACCGGCUAAUUCCGUGCCAGCAGCCGCGGUAAUACGGAAGGUCCGGGCGUUAUCCGGAUUUAUUGGGUUUAAAGGGAGCGUAGGCCGCCAGGUAAGCGUGUUG
rnacentral:rRNA from 1 species